rnacentral:misc_RNA from 1 species
GGAUGGAAAUGACAUUGAACUUGUUUCUCGUUCUGCUGCACUCAUAAACCAAAAAUGCCAUGUGAAAAACAAAGAUAUCCGUAAGUUUUUGGAUGGUAUCUACGUCAGUGAGAAGGGAAGAAUAGUUGAAGAAGAGUAAGUGUUAGCAAACUGGUUCUAAGAUCAUACACCGAUUUCGUAAGAACAUAUUUGAAGUUAAAUCAACAAUUUUGGUACUAGAUGACUACAUACCUGUUAAGGAUAAGUUUUUUGUUUUGUGUAUGGUUCAUUAAGAGAUGGAUGUUUUCUUUAGACAUGACUAUGGGUAAAACUUAGUGUAUGAGGGAUUUGUUAAAAUGUUUUAUCAAAACAUUAUUUGGUUUGUUA